rnacentral:rRNA from 1 species
UCGAGGAUCUUCGGCAAUGGGCGCAAGCCUGACCGAGCGACGCCGCGUGUGGGAUGAAGGCCCUUGGGUUGUAAACCACUGUCAGAGGGGAUGAAGUGCCGGGGGGUUAUCUCUCCGGUUUGACAUAGCCUCAGAGGAAGCACGGGCUAAGUUCGUGCCAGCAGCCGCGGUAAUACGAACUGUGCAAACGUUAUUCGGAAUCACUGGGCUUAAAGGGUGCGUAGGCGGCUGUCUAAGUAGGGUGUGAAAGCCCCCGGCUCAACCGGGGAAUUGCGCCCUAAACUGGAUGGCUGGAGUGAGGCAGGGGUGUGUGGAACUUCCGGUGGAGCGGUGAAAUGUGUUGAUAUCGGAAGGAACGCCGGUGGCGAAAGCGACACACUGGGUCUCAACUGACGCUGAGGCACGAAAGCCAGGGGAGCAAACGGGAUUAGAUACCCCCGUAGUCC